CGCCGGUCCCCUCGCAAUGACCAACCGUGAACCCGGUCAGGCCCGGAAGGGAGCAGCCGCAGCGGUGCCGUCGUGUGCCGGGGUGUGGCUGGUGGGG
rnacentral:SRP_RNA from 1 species